ACAGCAGUAGCCACGGUAAUACGGAGGAUCCAAGCGUUAUCCGGAAUCAUUGGGUUUAAAGGGUCCGUAGGCGGUCUUGUAAGUCAGUGGUGAAAGCCCAUCGCUCAACGGUGGAACGGCCAUUGAUACUGCAGGACUUGAAUUAUUGGGAAGUAACUAGAAUAUGUAGUGUAGCGGUGAAAUGCUUAGAGAUUACAUGGAAUACCAAUUGCGAAGGCAGGUUACUACCAAUUGAUUGACGCUGAUGGACGAAAGCGUGGGUAGCGAACAGGAUUAGAUACCCCCGUAGUCCCUGUCUCUUAUAA
rnacentral:rRNA from 1 species